AGGUCAGGGAGGAGCAGCAGGAGGAGUGAAGGAAAAGAAGGCGGCGGAGAAGGCCCUGCUCGCCGGAGAGGUCGAUCGGCGGCGACGAACUCCGAGCCGCACGUUCUGGCGACGGAGGGCUGGAACCGGUCGAUGGGGAGACCUGUAGGCGCGCGGCGGCGGCGGUUUGGGACGGCGGCGAAGCUGCAACUCGGACGGCGCCAUGGCUUCCUAUGCAAAGAAAACGAGACGAGGGGGAGGUCAGGGAGGAGCAGCAGGAGGAGUGAAGAAAAAAGGCGGCGGAGAAGGCCCUGCUCGCCGGAGAGCUCGCCUAGCGCCGACGCUCGCUGUAGCGGGAGUAUGCUCGGGCGUACCGGCAUGAGAGCUGCAGUUGGUGGGAAUUGGCUGCGGGCAUAGGAACCGUGGAUUGAUCCCACGUACACACAGCACUUCUCGGCUCUACGAAAUCCAUGGCUCAAGUGCGUGUCCCGGGAUCCGAGCCUCUAUCACUUCUUCAGUUCCGGCUUGCUUCAAGAACAAAAAAUUUCUGUGUGAAAGACCACUAGCAGAACUGAAUGUUGUAUGCACCUUCAUCUUGCAGUCCAAUUACUUGGAUUAUUUGGGACAAAUUCCUUUCUUUUUAACCGUACUACAGUUAGAUAGCAGGAUAAGGAUACAUGCUUGUACUGCCUCUAUCGUAAAUUGCACAUGAGUUGAUCCCGAGUUUAGACAGCUAGCAAUCAAUCGCUCUGAAGGUAUUGCUCUUUUAUUUUAUUUGAGAUCAUGAGGAAAUAGGUUCAGAUAUGUGACUACUCUAUGCUGUACUAACUAUUCUAUGUUGUACUGACUAUUCUAUGCGACCACCAACAGCAAGGGUUCUCUCAGGUGAGAUCCCCUCCUCUCAAUUUGUUCCCCUUCAUUCCCCUAUUUGCGUGUGUCAGCUAUUUUUCUUGUAUAAACUCUAGCAGAGGAAAUAAAUCUUGGUGAUGGAUUUACCUUGAUGGAAGAUGAUUUACAUAUUUUAUUUUUAAAUUCUGUGUUCCACUGAACUUCUUUCACCGCACUGUCUCCAGCACUGUAGCGGCUUGCUCGAGUCGUCCACCACCGACCGCCGCUGGCGCAAGCUGAAACUCACCCGGGGGAGCACUGGCUGGCGCGACAGUGGCGGCGAGGACCAGGUCAAGGCUUCGCAAUAAGCGCCGGAUCAAGCCAUGAAACAUGUUGACGGAUUAGUUUUCCACCUCAUGUUUACUUCACCAUGUAGUUGGGUGUAACGCGAGUUCUGCUCUUCUUCUAGGCUGUUGGGAGGAGCGACCCUGCCAUCACGUGGAGAACGAGCGGCUCCUGGUGCUCGACAAGGUGCCUGAGCAAGGCAUAUUAGUGGACGUGGCUCGACCCUGAACGUGCUUUCCCCAAAUUUGUUCAGUGAGCAGUGCUAUCAUAUUCUCCUUGCUCUUAUCAUGGAAAGGUUUGGAGUUUGGGUCUUUUUAGUUCUCGCGUUCGGACCAAAAUGAGUGGGGGAGUGGAGAUUGGCAUGAAUAAUUGCAAUUUUUAACACAAGGUGAGACAAUGAAGGAUUUGUUGUCAAGAUAUCAAAAGUUGCUCAUAUCAACUGGAAAUAUAGAAGUUAUAUUCAGUCAUGCAGACAUAUAGUUUUUUUUUUUGCAUAUGAAAAUAGAUUGUCAAUGUAUAUUAUUUGGCUCAAUAAAUGGCGUUGUGAAUCACUUCGAAUUGUUUGUAAUAAUGACCAUUUUUUCAUACAACACCUUAAUAUGUAUAGCUUAUAAGGCUUUUAGUUUGUGAAUAAUUUGUUCAAAGAGUCACACUGUAUCAUCACACAAGGCAAC
rnacentral:rRNA from 1 species